rnacentral:lncRNA from 1 species
AUAAAGCCGCUGGACAAUGGAGCUCACAGCAAAAUAUUCAUGAAAAGGACUAAUUAAUUUAUGCAAACUGGUAAGAACAUGAUAUAAUAUUAUGCAUUCCAUUAGUUAUUUUACGAGAAAUUUGCUAAGUGAUCACACAUAAGCUAAAAUUUGGUAAGUGAUCACACAUAAGCCAAUUCUAUUACAUACUUCCAGGCACCUUACCCUCUGUGAACUGCAUCUGAUAACCAUCCAUGAUAAAUGAGCACAUCACUAUUAUGCAAACUGAUUGUUGCUAAUAUUUUAAGUUCCAGGGGCCUAGACUGUAUGAAGUUGUAGUAUUUGGAUUUUUGCCAUCUCCUUCAUGUGGCUUUGAGAAAUUGCCCCUUUCCAUAUUGACUCUGUAAAAUUGCCACUUAGAUCGUUGACACCUUGAUUACUAUGCCAUUAGCAACUCUUUUAUUCAUUUUAUUUCUUCUCACAUAAGCAGGCUCGUGAAAGGCAACGGGCGGCAGGUAACUCGGACAUCGCUACUCUCUUGAGACGCCAUAGCGAAUGUCCACUCGUAUGAUCUCUUGUGACAUUUGUUGUCCUGUGACAGAUGAUGCCAUGGACGCGGUCCAAUGCUCUGCGCACAACAAAGAAGAACACAUUGUCAGAGAGAUUAUUAUGAAGAGCAAGGUGUGCUCCUAGAAUUUUGCAUCUCAUGCAAGCAACAGAGAUCAAAGUUAAAUGAAAAUAGUCUUGAAAGCAAGUGUGAAUUAUUAUGGAGAAUCGAUUGGCUAGGAUAGGCUUGUCUUCAUAUAUCCUCCGUAAUAUUUCAAAAUGCUGAAAGUACCCUCUUUAGCCUUUUUUUAGAUCAAAGAGCUUUCUCAUACAUUAAGAGACACAUAUACAUUCAUGCAGAUGCAUAACAACAGUUUAGUACUAAGCUUGUACCUCUGUAGCGCAGCCCUGGCUGCAAAAUACGAAAAUUUUCUUUUAAUAAAACGGCCAUCUGAAGUUCAGUCAACAUCAAAGUGCUCUCAGUUUUCCUUCACUCUGUGAUUCUUCCAUUUGUCGUCUCUGCUCCAGUUGAUAAAACAUGAUAGUGCUCUAAGUAUUCCUUCAAUCAAUGAUUCUUCCAUUUGCUCUCUCCACUCCAUCUAAUAUUCAUGUGUGCGUGUGUCUGUGUGUUGCCUAAAGACAGGACCUAUGUUAUGUAUGGAAAACAUCGUCAUUCUUGAUUAAUGCCACAACAAUCCGGCAGGUGGCGCGAUGGCUGCAAACAUGAGCAGGCAGGAGGCACGCGAUCCGCAACGACAAUCUAGCGCAGCAGCUCGACCUGGCGACUGGGCAACACACACGGUACUGCACUGACCACUUUAGUGAUAGUUCUUUCAAACAAAAAAUGAUAUAAUCAACAUGGUGUCAAAAAAAGACAUGAUUGCACCUUUAAUAUGUUACCCAUGUGUUGUUGAGAUGGCAAUAUAGAAUCAAAGUUUGUCGGUACAGUGCCGAGACAUGAGUGGUAUGACACCAAAUCCACUCAUUUCUAUCUUUGAUACAUCCAAUGAAACUUGCCAUGUGGAAAGUCCCCAGCCAACUUCAGGACAAAGAGAACGGAUCUGCAACAAUAGUGUACGAAUCAGUAAUCUAUACAACAAAGGUGCUAUUGAAGAGUAAUACUGCAAGAGGAACGCCGGACUACAUUACCUGGCCAGCAUGACACGUUUUCAGAGCAAAGGAGCAGACACCAACCUGAUGUUGGAGAUGAUGGAAGCGAUGCCGCAC